rnacentral:rRNA from 1 species
UACGGAGGUGGCUAGCGUUACUCGGAAUUACUGGGUGUAAAGGGUCCGCAGGCGACUUAGUAAGUAGAGGGUGAAAUCCUUUCGCUUAACGAAAGAAUUGCCUUCUAUACUGCUAGGUUAGAGGACAAGAUAGGAAAGCAGAACUGCCGGUGUAAGGGUGAAAUCUGUGGAUAUCGGCAGGAAUGCCAGUGGUGAAGACGGCUUUCUGGCUUGUAUCUGACGCUCAGGGACGAAAGCAUGGGGAGCGAACAGGAUUAGAUACCCCCGUA